rnacentral:tRNA from 1 species
ACCUCUGUAGCUCAGUUGGUUAGAGCGCUACACCGGAAUCACAGGGCCGUAGGUUCAAUUCCUACCAGAGGAC